AAGAGCUGCAUCAAGAGAAAUCAUCCCAAAGGAGAGUAUUCCUUGUCUAUUGUGAAUGUAUAUUUUCAUAACUGUUUCAGUUUAUCACUAUAGCAUAUUUUUUCUUUCUCUAUUUCAGUUAAGACUUAAUGCUGGCAUGUUCUGAAGGAACUUGAUUCUUGUUUUCUUCAAAAAACGAUCUGUGAGCUUGAGGAUUAAAAGCUCAUUGCUUGUGUUUCGUUGUUGCUGGAAAUGGGUGUCUUCCCCACCGCUAGGGGUGCUAUGGCGCCUAAAUGAGCUCCGUCAGUAGAGGAAGUUAGCAGAACGGCAGCAGUAGAAAGCAUGGCUUGACUGCAUGUGUGCGAUGUCCUUGUUGGGAAAUGUUCCAUUUCAAGCUCAACUUAAAAAGGACACUUUAUUGGUGACUAACCACAUGUUACGAGCUAAAAAUGGAUGUAAUGCCCAGAUGGAUGUAAGCUUGUAGCUUCUGUCUUACUUAUGGCAGUACCUGAUUUGGAAAGGUCUGGGGCUUGGGAACUGUUAUCGUUUGGAGUGAAGUCAUCGCAAAUAGUUGGAGUAUUCAUCGUCUGAGGGACAGCUUCAACUUUGGGCAUAAUUUGAUAAACUAUAUCUCAUCAAAUAAGACUCUCCCACACAUCCAUUUGCACAUUAAUAAACUGUGCAACCUAAUAUCUAUUUCCUGUUAUGGAUUCAUACAUGACAUUAUUUGUAUAAUGUGAUUGAUUGUGUCUUUUGUUUGUUUGUUUGUUUUUUCAUGGCUAUAUAAAAAGAAUGUGCAUAUAUUUGGUAAGCAUCUUCCCUUCUUAAAGGGGAAUUUAGUUUGCCUAACAGUAGUUUAAGUUGUAUAACUAGUUUUGUGUUAGAAAAACAUGAGGCGGUUAUAAUAUGCAGAAAUUGUCCUUCUUAAAAUGUCAUCUCAAUCUCAGCAGUCCCUCUUUCCAAAACCUGGCAAGGUAAGAGUCCUCCAAAGAUUUGACUAAACCUCCCUUACAAUGUUUACACCAUUGUGUGCAAAAUGGUGACUUUACUUGGUCAACAGCUUACAAUGCCUCUAAGCUCAGGUUUCAGAUAAAAGGGGUGCCCCAAACCUAGUGACAAGAGUUUGAGAUCUGUCUAGCAAUGUGUGCACUAAAGAGUUUCAGGGUUCAUUCAUGGCUGCAUUGAUAACUGCUUGUUAAUGUCAAUUUAACUCCUGUGACUGUGUGUUUGAGUUUUGAAUUGAUGUACUCCACAUAUCUGCAUAUUUAAUUAAAUUUAAACCAUGCUUAAAUGUCCUUUUGCUGCUCACUGUUUUUCAUCUGUAAAAUAUAAAGGACUCCCUUCAGUUCACAGAUGGCUCUGAUUUUCAUAAGCAGCUCACAGUGUUCCUGUUGCACCUCUAGAAACAUCAAUUAGAAAUGCAUUAGAAAUUUCAAUUGUUUGCUUUGUUCCUGUGAGGUACUGACAGUGUUAAAGAUUCUCCUG